GCCCCCGCCCCCACCGCGGGGCGCCCGAGCGCCUCUUUGGCCUGAGCCUUCCGCACCCAGACCUUCCCCUCUGCCCCUUCCCACACCCCAACCCACCCCAGGCCUCGCCUGGAAGCGGAGAAUUUCAGGAAUCUCAGAAAUCUCAGAACACAGACAGGCUUUACUGAGCACCUACUGCGCGCCGAGCUCUGCGCAAGGCCCCGCCCGCCCCCACCGCGGGGCGCCCGAGCGCCUCUUUGGCCUGAGCCUUCCGCACCCAGACCUUCCCCUCUGCCCCUUCCCACACCCCAACCCACCCCAGGCCUCGCCUGGAAGCGGAGAAUUUCAGGAAUCUCAGAAAUCUCAGAACACAGACAGGCUUUACUGAGCACCUACUGCGCGCCGAGCUCUGCGCAAGGCCCCGCGGGGAGCUGGAGGCCCUGGCGACAGCACCUAGUUGCCGAGGUCCUGACGCCAGGCCUGAAGCUGGGUGAGCCGCACAGAGGCUGCGCAACUCGUGAGUUGGGAGAAGCUACCAGGAGCUCUGAUGCUCGUUUUAAAGAUGAAGUAACCGAAGCCAAGAGACAAAAAGCACCCCAGGAGGUCCCCCAGCAGCCUGGGACCGGCCGGGUCAGCCGGGCACCAGCUCGGGUUCGUCUCGGGUGCUGUGGACGGGCCACGGGGGGCUGUACCUGCUGUCAGCCUCCCCGCGGCCCCCCCCCUUGGGGCGUGCUGUCUCUUCUCCUCUGCUUUUUAAUUGCUUGGAAACAGAGCUGACAGCAGCGGGAACAGCUCAGCCGCUGCUGGUCUCAUGACUGGAUGCUUUUGUUUGUUCACAGAAUCAUAUUUUUACACUCAAGCUUCUGCUAAUUUAUGCCACAGCCUGAGCUCUCCGUUGCUGAGGAUCCAGUUUUGGGGAGUGGGGAGUCAAUUCCUGGGUUGAUUUAGUCAUCUCGGAGCCUAUCAGAAGCCAAGCAGGG
rnacentral:lncRNA from 1 species